rnacentral:rRNA from 1 species
CCUACGGGUGGCAGCAGUGGGGAAUAUUGCACAAUGGGGGAAACCCUGAUGCAGCAACGCCGCGUGAAGGAAGACGGUUUUCGGAUUGUAAACUUCUGUUCGUAGGGAAGAAGAAUGACGGUAGCGAAGGAGCAAGCCACGGCCAACUACGUGCCAGCAGCCGCGGUAAGACGCAGGUGGCAAGCGUUGUCCGGAAUUACGGGGUGUAAAGGGAGCGGAGGCGGGAAGCCAAGUCAGCUGUGAAAGCUACGGGCUUAACUUGGAGACUGCAGUUGAAACUGGUUUUCUUGAGUGAAGUAGAGGUUGGCGGAAUUCCGGGUGUAGCGGUGAAAUGCGUAGAUAUUCGGAGGAACACCGGUGGCGAAGGCGGCCAACUGGGCUUUAACUGACGCUGAGGCUCGAAAGUGUGGGGAGCAAACAGGAUUAGAUACCCGAGUAGUC